GACGAACGCUGGCGGCGUGCCUAAUACAUGCAAGUAGAACGCUGAAGGAGGAGCUUGCUUCUCCGGAUGAGUUGCGAACGGGUGAGUAACGCGUAGGUAACCUGCCUGGUAGCGGGGGAUAACUAUUGGAAACGAUAGCUAAUACCGCAUAAGAGUAGAUGUCGCAUGACAUUUGCUUAAAAGGUGCAACUGCACCACUACCAGAUGGACCUGCGUUGUAUUAGCUAGUUGGUGAGGUAACGGCUCACCAAGGCAACGAUACAUAGCCGACCUGAGAGGGUGAUCGGCCACACUGGGACCGAGACACGGCCCAGACUCCUACGGGAGGCAGCAGUAGGGAAUCUUCGGCAAUAGACGGAAGUCUGACCGAGCAACGCCGCGUGAGUGAAGAAGGUUUUCGGAUCGUAAAGCUCUGUUGUAAGAGAAGAACGAGUGUGAGAGUGGAAAGUUCACACUGUGACGGUAUCUUACCAGAAAGGGACGGCUAACUACGUG
rnacentral:rRNA from 1 species